GAAGUGCGAUAAGCAAUGCGAAUUGCAGAAUUCCGCGAAUCAUCAGAUCUUUGAACGCAAAUGGCGCUGAAAGGAUAUCCUUUCAGCAUGUCUAUUUCAGUGUCUGAGAGGUUUCAUACUAAUCUUAAUGUGAUUGAAGGGUUGAAUGAUGAUUGAUACUCUCCUCUCUCAUUCGAUUCUUCUCUCAUGAAAGAUGCGUGAGUGGAUCUUUCGGUCCAAUGAAGUGGUCACAUCACUCGCAUGUGAUUUCAUUGGAGAAAUCACCGAAUUAUCCGUAUACUCACAGUAACAACUACCCCCGAAAAAAUAAGGGGGGAAAACACCUUCCAUACCCUGCAUCUGAGAUAGACAAGAUCACCCGCUGAACUUAAGC
rnacentral:misc_RNA from 1 species